rnacentral:rRNA from 1 species
GACGAACGCUGGCGGCGUGCUUAACACAUGCAAGUCGAGCGGUAAGGCUCCUUCGGGAGUACACGAGCGGCGAACGGGUGAGUAACACGUGAGCCACCUGCCCUUACCACUGGAAUAAGCGUUGGAAACUACGUCAAAUGCCGCAUACGACCUCCUUUCGCAUGAUCGGAGGUGUAAAGCUCCGGAGGGGAAGUACGGGCUCGCGGGCUAUCAGGUGGUUGGUGGGGUAACGGCCCACCAAGGCGCCGACGGGUAGCCGGCCUGAGAGGGUGACCGGCCACACAGGGACUGAAACACGGCCCAGACUCCUACGGGAGGCAGCAGUGGGGAAUAUUGGACAAUGGGCGAAAGCCUGAUCCAGCAACGCCGCGUGAGGGAUGACGGCCUUCGGGUUGUAAACCUCUUUCAGCAGGGACGAAGCGAAAGUGACGGUACCUGCAGAAGAAGGACCGGCCAACUACGUGCCAGCCGCCGCCGUAAUAC